rnacentral:tRNA from 1 species
GGGCGCUUAGCUCAGUUGGUUAGAGCACUUCUUUUACACAGAAGGGGUCGGGGGUUCGAGUCCCUCAGCGCCCA